CAAUGAUCUCGUGAGGUCCCUUCCAGCCCCUAAUGUCUAUGAAAUCUAUGAAAUCCCAUCCCCUUUCCCACCUUACAUUCUAUUGCAAUACUUGAAGACAAAUAACCUCUUUAAAUCAAACUCGAUCUUGAAUCUGGAUCUCCUGCUGGGUCUCCUCAUUAGUGUCCUAACCAGUGGGCAUCUGAGUACAAGAGAGGCCAACACCUUUCUCAAUUUUGUGAAUAUCAUCCAAGUUCCCUUGUGAAUUUAGGUUUCUUUAUAAAUUUUCAGUGUUUUGUAAUAAAAAAUGUCCAAAAGGAAGAGCAUUAUUCAAUUAGAAAUUACUUUUUCUAUUUCUCUAAAACAAAACAAACAAAAAAGGAAAAGAAAUGUUUUCAGUGCAGCUCAGAACAAUUUUUUUCUCUGCAGUUUUUCAGUUUGACCACUGACCUGAAAGAACAAUUAUUGAUAUAGUUCUAAUGUGUAGUGCUUAAUACAAAGGCCCAAAGCUCAAGAUUCUUGGUUUCUGAGCACAACUUCAGAGCACAACUUUGUUGUGUCAGGCAAGUAAUUUAGGCCACAGUUUUCAGUUGAGUCCACUAAUUGGUGUUACCUCAGCUUUUUGAAAUCCUGAGAUCUUUAUUUCCAGAGCUGCUGAGUACUUCCAGCUUCCUUUGACUUCAGCUGAGGUUGUGGGUAUUCAGUUGGUCUGAAAAUCCUGCCCACAUGUACUUCAAAUUGGGCAAUCAAAACCAGAAGCAUCAGCAACAAUUUGUCAGUCAUAAAAAUCUGGGUCCCAAACCCUAUCUGCCUCAUUUUUUCCAACUAUAAAAUAGGUAUAAUAUUAGUUGCCUGAAAAUUCAGGUAGUUCCUGAAAAUUCUUCAAUGAAAGGGAUGCAUACAAUACCUCUAAUUAUUAACUUUACAGCCACAAACAAUAACAAUAGACUAAUGACCUGCUAUCCUUUGCAGUCAUAUUGACUUUGAAAAAAGAUGGCUGGAGGCACCAUCACAAGACCUUCACACAGCAAUAAGCAAUAGGACGUGAUGAUGAUUGUAAUCUUUUGAUGUAGGGGUGGGUUAUAAACUGUAGUGUACAAACUUACUGAAAAUACUGUACAGCUCAGUGGGAUGUUUAUAGGGUAGCAGAUAAGUCAAAAUUUUCACCACAGUGUGUUCAUGGUGAAAUUUGGUAAUGAAAGAACAGUGCAAAUACUGAAUACUAUAAUCAGAAAUAGAAGUAAAUUAAACUUUAUUUCUCUGUUCUGCAGCUUUCAACAAAGCUGAUAGUAGAGAGGCACUUAUGUUAGAUGAUAUAUUGUAAUUAUAGUUAAAAAAGGAAGUCCUUAUGUAAAAUGAAAUUAUGAAUUUCAUCUUAAGUGUUGUAUCCCUGACACUCCCUGGAUUGUAUAACUUUUCCACUGAUACUUUCAGGCCGUGAUUCUUUAUGGAUAAGGCAGGAGCCACUGGAUGCACAAUUGUUUGUGCAUUAGCAAAGCAGUUGUCAUAUAUUCUGUUGUUUGCAUCUACUAACCCGUGGUGACCAGAAGCCAUUAUUUCCAUAGGACACAGUGGCAACCAGAAGCAUUAACUCCCACAGUACUGAGGAAUGUAAAUACAUAAUCUUAUGACCUCUAAGGAGAUAAUGUACAGCAUCUGCCGUUCAAAAAAGUUUUGAAACUGAUUUACAAGAUACUUGUGCGUACUUGCUUAUACAAAAUUGCUUCUGGGAUUUAUCUUGCUUUGACCUUCAAGGAAAAUGAAGAGUUCACAGAUAUAAUAUUCAUAGAGGUAACCAUAUCAGAACCAUGAAGGUUGGGAUUGAAGACAUUGGGCCAUCAGAGUGGCUCUGAGUGAUGCGUUUUUCUGGGUGUUCAAAUGAAAGGAAAACACAAUCACACAGGAAGAGAGCAAAUGAUACUGUGAAACUGUCAGAGAGAUCUUUAAUUCCCUGAGUGGAAAUAUUUGUUAGAAAGAGUUAGUUGAAGAAGGAUAGAAAUAGAAUUCCACUGGCCAUUCACCUACUGCAGUAGGCCAAAUCCAGCCCUUGUGUAAGUAGGGGGCUACCCCACUGACUGUAGUAAGUUAUGCUUGCUUGCAUUAUGACUAUGUUUGGCCCUGUGAGGGCUAGGAGAAAGAGGAAGAGAAAUAAGAUGUUAGAAGGGUAAAGAGAAACAGACAUGGGAAGGCAGGGAUGGAGCAGAGGCAAGCUCCGUACAGUGAACGAGACAACAGAGAACCCAAACAUUAAUUUUGCUUUGCUCAUAUUUCAAUAACAAAUGUGGAUUAUGAUGAAGGCAUUUUAGUGUUGAAUUGAACUGAUUUUGUAAAAGACAAAUUCCAUUUUUCCAUAUAUUUCCCCUCCAGUUAUCACCACAGGGUAAGAUUAAAGAUCUCUGGUUUCUUUGAUCUAUUUAAACAUCUAUUUAAAUUUUAUUUGAAUGUUUUAGCUGUAACUGUUUCCUGGUUUUGUAAUGCUCAAUUUGGGGAUAAAUAUACCAUCCCUGCAAUGUCCCCCCUUUUUUUUAGCCUUCUUGCUUAUACAUACAGCUAUAAAUUCAUGUUACGGUACUAUUCUUAUCUGGGAAUUUCCUUAGCUUUUUAGAAAUAUUAAAAAUGUCAUAGAGCCACUAGACAAGAAGCCGAAAGAGAAUGCUACCAUGUUAUUUCAUCAAUGAUAUGAAGAUUUGCCAAAAUCUGUUUCUCAAAAUGUAGAACACUGAAGAAAUUCCCACUGAGCUAAGGAAUGCCAAUAUUGUCACCAUUUUUAAAAAGGGAGAUAAGUCUGGCUGUGGAAAUUAUUGAGGUAUUGCCCUCCUCUCCAUUGCUGAGAAGAUCCCUGCUCAAAUUCUGCUGAAUUGACUGCUCCCUCUUGCUGUAGAAAUCCUUCCUAAGUCUCAAUGAGGCUUUAGACCAUUGAUAGGCACCAUGGACAUGAUUUUUGCAGCCAGGCAGAUCCAGGAAAAAUGCCGAGAACAACAUCAGGAACUGUAUAUGGCUUUUAUUGAUUUAACCAAAGCCUUUGACUCUAACCAUGAUGAUCUAUGGAAGAUCUUACUGAAAUUUGGCUGCCCAGGGAAAUUUAUCACCAUCCUAAGACUCCUUCAUGACUACCUGACUACCUCCAUCCUAUGCAGUGACUCUGCUAUAGAGUUCUUUGUUAUUCAAACUGGUGUCAAAAUGGGCUGCAUGAUUGCACCAAUUUUGUUUUCCAUCUUUCUUGAGGUCAUCAAGAUGCUGAUCUGUGACUAUCUGCCACAUGGCAUCGGCACUGAGUGUAGGAGAGGAUGGAUGGGAACCUUUUCAGUCUCUCCCACUUCUAUGUCAAAACCAGAGUUACUUUGGCCUUGUGGGAAGAUUGAUGAUACCUGCCCAGGGGAACUCCCCGGUCAGAGGGGUGCAUCCGGCAGUAGCAGUGUGGCCAUGAUCAGGAGGGAGCUUCCAAUCCACCUAGGGUCAGCCUUACCAACUCACCAGCUGAGCUGGAUUGGCUCUACCUGGGCUCUAGGAGCUAUUUCCAGCGCUAUGUGCCACCCAGGAAACAGGAGCUGAAAAGGAGAAGACAAGGCCAGCAAACAGGGCAAUUGCUCAGCUGCCGGUCUGGAGUGAAGUCCCUAGUAACAGGGCAGCAGACCCACAGGGUCUAUAGAGCUCAAGGGAGCUUGUAAAACGUGUUUCCACAUUAAUUCGCCAUAGUGGGUGGCUAAUUAAGCCAGCAAGACGCCAAUUAUCGAAGCGAGAAAAAAAAAUUCAAUUGCAGCUGCAGCAAUCGGAAUUUGCGGACUGAGUGGGAACAGGAGGGACAACAGCCACUAAAAACCCUGGCACUGUGGGGAAAAGUGAGCAAGCAGACACAUUGGGUCCCUAUAUGGUUUUUUUGUUGCAGGAAGUUUUUUCUUUUCAUUUGCCUGUCCUUGCAUUUGACGGGCGAUGGUUAGUACCAGGUCGGGGAAGUCAUCACCCCUCCCUAAUUUAAUUCAUUCAUCAAGUCAUGGCAGGAGAGAACUGAGAGGAACACUGACCUAAUAGACUGACUGGCCUCUGUCCGGCAUAGGAACAACAAGUGAAUGUCAACGGGAUGCAGAGGUCCGCGUCCAUACAUGGUGAUAUCCUGACAGGCCUCGAUUGUGGAACUUCAGCAUGCUGAUGAUUGUGCUGUCGUUGCACAUACUGAGGAGGACAAAUGGCUCUUAACUGCUUCUCUCAAGAAUACCAGUGCCUGGGACUGACCCCUAAUAUUGGAAAAACAUCCUGCUAUGGCCCAAUCAUUCCCCCUUAUCUCUGCCGCUAGCAAAGAUCCUCAUUGAUGGACAGGAGCUGGAGAAUGUUGAAUAUGUUGCAUACCUUGGCAGCCAUCUCUCAAAGAAGGCCGACGUUGACAAGGAGAUUCAGUACAGGAUGCAAUGUACCAGUUCUUCCUUUGGAAGACUGAGUCAUUGUGUGUUCAAUGAUCACGACAUCAGGAUUCAAACAAAGCUCCUACUAUAUAAGGCUGUGUUAAUUCCAGCUCUUCUCUAUGGCUGUGAACCUUGGGUGGCCUACAGGAACCACCUGAAAAGCCUUGAAUGCCAUCACCAGUGCUACCUCUGGAAGAUUGUUCGCAUAAAGUAGGAGGAUUGUAGCACAAAUGCCAAUCUCUUCACUGAUGCUAACACCACCUGUAUGAAAGCAUUAAUAAUUCAUCAUCAGUUGCAGUGGGUAGGACAUUGUGUGUGCAUGUCUGAUGUCUGCUUCCCAAAACAACUGCUAUACUCCCAACUCAGCCAAGAACAAAGGGCACACGGGGGCCAAAGGAAAUGCUUUAAGGACACCCUCAAGGCACACAUUAAGUGUGGCACUGACACCACAAGUUUGGGACAUGGCUAUAUGGUGACAACUUGUGAGAGAAGGGACAUCUUUGAGAAAAAUCAUCUUGUCCUAGAGAUGGAAAAAUGACAGAAACAGAAGGAAAGGAAACAAGAUUGAGAAAUCUGUGGUCUGACCCUUCCUUUAACCACCACCUGUGGCAUUUGCCAGAGAGUCUGUGACACUAGGAUCAGCCUUCUUAGCCGUCAACAAACUCAUUUACAACCCUUUACUUGACCCAUGGGAGUGAUCAUCCUUGACCAUGAGGGAUCACCCCCAAUGCUGAAAGAUUUGCCAUAUGUAUUUUUUUAAACACAUACUUUUGGCACAAAGUAUUAAACUGCUCAAGAUAGAGUGGAAAUUAAGGUGCAUUUACCAAAGAAAAUGGCAGACGUACAUGUGAAUCUGGCCCUAAAUUUGUAACUGAUUUAUUGAUUAGAGGGUUUCUGUUUUUACGCCCCUGAAAGAGUUUACUAAUAAUAAUGAGAGAUAUGUUAUCUGAAGAAUAGCAGGGAAAAACAGCAGGACAGUCUAAUCACUGAGUCCUAUAAUCAAUGUGUUUUAAGGUUUUUCUUCUGUGCUCCAGCAGCGAUGUAGAUGGGGCAGGACAGCCAUUGGGAUCUAUGCAUGUACUAAGUGUAGGCUAGCUGGCAGUCACACAAUAUUUAAAGAAUAGCAACAAUUUUGCCAAAGAGAAUUCUUGCCAUAUAUGACCUUGUACUAUGAGUCAUUGCAACCAAAGAACUGUUGCAAGCAAAUUAGUUGUAGAAAUAGGGAGGUGAUUGGCUGAGGUGUCACUGAUAUGGCAACUCUCAAGAGUUUUCUGAGCAGUUGACUUGAAACUCUCUGUAAUAUAUAUAAUCACAGCAAUCUAUAUAAACUUGGUUUAAUUACAAAUCAAUUUCUUUAAAAAAUUUCAGUGCACAGGCUUUCAAUUAAUUUGAAGUAUGGGAAAAGUCUGAGAUGUUUGUGUUGUUCUGUUCAUAAGGUUAUGUGGGACAAAGAAAACACAGAUAUAGAUUUCUUAUAUAUCCUGAUUUGGAAUUAAUUUUAAUUCUUAAAUUAAUUAACAGCUUUACUUGCAAAUUCUCAGAAAAUUCAUUCUCAACUCAAGGAGUAAGCAUAGUAAGUUUGGGUAGGAUACACAAAAUUAAGCAGUUGGUUCCCUGCUAAAAAUGAAGAUUGCAACUCGCAUCAAGCGGUCUCAGUUAGUCCUUCCAAAUUACCACAUUUUGCAUUUGUUUCCACUGGAUGCUCUCUGUUUUCCUCAGUGCUUGCUGAAGAACAUCUCUUCUCUGUCUUCUAUAUUAUCUGAGCAAGUACACUAGCACCCACCGAAAUACAGAAAUGAGCAGAGUUUCAGAGACAAAGCUUCUUCUUUGCAAGCCUGAAAAGUGAGGUUCUUAAAUGGUAGGGUCUGCAAUGAAUGCCUGAGUUUAGUGAAUUAGGAUGUCCAUUUUAAGCCUUCAAACUACAGGCUACUCCAAUAACUGUGUACUUACUGAACAGAAGAUGGAAGACAGAGCCUAAGAAGGAAGAUUAAGUAAUGUAGCAUUACCACAAUGCAACACCUUGUAGAGAGGAAGAUAAACACUGUUCUUAUCAGCCAGAUGCUUCAGGAAAAUCCAGAUAACACCACAAUAAAUGGUAAGAAAUCCAGAGAGUCUUAAUAAAAUGGUCAUAGAUGUUUUACCUCUGUCCACUGUUAACUAAAUCAACCAUGGAAUGGAAUAAUACAGAUUUGGUACUGUAUACAGACUAUUAGAAAUUUUGAAAUCAAAGUGCAAUUGGGUUUUGCUAUAGCACUAUCCAAAAGAUGAGAAUUUUAUACUGGGUAAUCACUGGAAAGCCUGUUAAUAACAAAUAAUUGUUUUUAAUCAAGGGACAAACCAGUAACUCUUUGUUGUGCUUUAUUCUUUCCAUCCACACUGAUGAAUGAACAAUCCUCUGUUGAAAUCCCUCCAUCCUGCAUCAGCUUCUUCAUCAAGUCAGAUGUGUGACAUGAUCAGAACUAUGGAAUUAAAUUAAAUUCUUAGAGUUCUUGCUCAUACAAUUCCUAAAGUAAACCAUGGUCUGUUUUGUGGCAGACCUAAUUAAACAAUCUGCCAGGGAGAGGAUCUUAGCAGCAGGGUUUUGAUUGGACUUGAAUGAGGCAAGGUCAGCACAAAAAGGUCAGAGAGGAGGUUGUAGUAGAUAAGGAGGGGAAGCAUUAUCAGUGUGGACAAAGGAAAAGAUUGGAUUUUGGAUGUUGUGGAGGAAGAAGCAGCAGGGAUGUGGGUAUGGCCUACACAUGUGGAACUAAAGAAGGAGGGGGACUGAGUAAAAUAUGAUGUGCAAAUUAUAGGUUUGAGAGAGCAGUGGUGACAGAGAAAGGAAAGCAGGAGUUGGGAGGUGAGUUAAGGUUCCAUUUAAAUACAUGAUAGUGCAUCUAUGGGAAACUGACAGAAAGACAGACCAAAUUGGAUGGAGACAGGCCAGGCUAGAAAGAUUAAUGUGUUUGCUACCAACGCAAAGGUGAUAGCUGAAGCGAUGGAAGUAGAUAAAAGGACGGAGAGAUGGGCGGUCAGUGGAAGAGAUGACAAAGAAUAGAUCUGAAAUGGGUAGAAAAUGGGAAAAGAUUCCCUGGAUGAGGUGCUGCAAGAACAAUCAGAAAGGUAAAAAGAGAAUCAAAGGAUGAUGGAUGCAUAUUAUGCCCUUCCCAGAAGGUAAAGGAUGCCACGAUUUCAAGCAGCGGCAUACAAUUGAUGGUGCUGAAGGAAGACAGGAAGUGAAGGCAAGUGAAGAUGGCCUAAAAGUUAGAGGGGUUAAGAGGGGUUAUCAGAGACUUAAAUGAGAGCCUGAAGUAAGAGAGAGCCUAGUGGAAGAUGGAUUGGAAAGACUCUAGGGUGCACUCUGUGGAGGGGUACUUACGGUAACAGUUGUAGAAAGUGUAUUCAAUGAGUUAGAAUUCAGAAGGCACUUUGGGCUGUAAUUGAAGAGGCAGGUAAAGGCAAGAAUUAGAUUUUUAUAACAGUGAUGACCAUAGUGUGAUUGUACUUUGAGUCAAAGCUGGAAAGGCUUAGAGUCUGCAAAGAUAGGUGAAGGAGGGAGUGAGAGUGGAGACAGGAGAGGUUAGGAGGCAUGAGGGGCUGGGUUUGCUGGGCUAGAUGGACUGGUUAAAAGUAAGAGCAAAACAUAUCAGGAUUGGUAUAAAAAUAGGGAGUGGAAAGGGGGAACAGAAAGGAGUGGAGGAAGGAAGGAUAAUGGCAAAUCUUUACAUAUCUUUAAAGCAGUUAAAUGAGCUUCAGUUAGUGCAUUUACCAAGGGCUCAGAAAAGGUAAAUGGGUGGUUUGGAUUGUCUGUAUGGGAGUCAGUGAUGUCACACUAUUCAGCAAGGGAGAUGAUACAACUGAAGAAGAGAAGAAGAAAUCUGUUGUGAUGGGAAUCCAGGUGGUGGCAGGACUUUCUACAGAAGAGCUCAGCAAUGCAACAGCAGGAUCAAAGAUGUGGGCAAUGAAGCAAAGGCAUGGUUUCUUGCUACAUUCGCUGAGUUAUUCCCCUCCACAAGAGAGACUGCUAGAUGUUUCAAGAGGUACCACAACCUGCUAUAUCCAUGAUAAUGCCAAGUGACUUGCUUUGCUCACCUCAAAUUCAGAGUAAAAGCCAAACUAGAAAUGCACUGGCUGGCAAUAAAAUUAUGGAGGGAUUUUGAAAAAAUCAUGAGAAACAGAGGCAGGCAACAAUCUGACACACAAAAAAGGCACAGAGUCGUAAGCCAGGAGGCUGAGAUAGACAGUAGUGGAAUUCAUGCAGGAUGUUUUUUCCACUGAAAAGGGUAAUGAAGUGCAUGGACAGCAGUAAAAUAUAAGUAAUUUUAACACAAACUAAGCAAAACUUUUCCACAAAAUUAUUUUGGAUACAACUGCUCUUAAAGGCUGAUGAAGACAGGUUUCACAAGGGCCCUGUCUUGUCCUAAAACAUCUAAUUCUCCUUGUUGAAUGCUACUUUAAAGCUUGAAAUAGUUUUAUUUUAAAAAGCUUUCAAGACUAAAUGACGCUAAAAGCAUUUUCUAUAGCUUGCAUUGCUAUUUAGGAAAGCAUGUUAUUUCUUUUUAAUUUGAUCACUCAUUCCUGAAUAACUUUUCAUGGACUCCAGACACCGCAGUGUGACAGCUAAACCAAGGAGCAUCGGAUGCGAUGGAAUUGCUCUACAAGCAACCUUGCCAAAGGCCCUUUUGCUGCACAAAGCUGGCUCUAUCUUUGUAUAUUGAGGGAGCUAAAUCAAUGUUAAAUGCUUGGCUCUUUUCACAGGACAAUGACCAGGACCUAAGCUGCGUCCUUCCUUUUUGAUUGACACUUGAAACGUUGAGCUGGAAUCAGCCAGAGGCACUGCUACAAGCUUGAAGCCUCUGCUGGGGAUAACAACUGGUGACAUCUGCAGAAAGGCCGACAAAAGGCAGUUGAAAGCCGUGUUUGUUGCUUUCCCCUCUCAGAUCUCCUCUCUUUCAUGGAGCUCCUUACUUGCUUUAAUAUUAUGAUUCAGCACCUGGCUCUUUUGAACCUUGCUUUAAACUUCAAAAGGCGAGGUGGUAUUAACAAACAUGAAACGAAAAAGUG